GAUGAACGCUAGCGGCAGGCCUAACACAUGCAAGUCGAGGGAGAGGUUACCUUCGGGUAACCAAAACCGGCGCACGGGUGCGUAACGCGUAUACAAUCUGCCUUUCACAUAGGGAUAGCCCGAAGAAAUUUGGAUUAAUACCUAAUGGUAUAUAAGAGCGGCAUCGUUUUUAUAUUAAAGCUACGGUGGUGAAAGAUGAGUAUGCGUUCUAUUAGCUAGUUGGAGAGGUAACGGCUCCCCAAGGCGACGAUAGAUAGGGGUUCUGAGAGGGAUGUCCCCCACACUGGUACUGAGAUACGGACCAGACUCCUACGGGAGGCAGCAGUGAGGAAUAUUGGACAAUGGUCGGAAGACUGAUCCAGCCAUGCCGCGUGCAGGAUGAAGGUCCUAUGGAUUGUAAACUGCUUUUGUAAGGGAAGAAUAAGGAGUACGUGUACUUUGAUGACGGUACCUUACGAAUAAGCAUCGGCUAACUCCGUGCCAGCAGCCGCGGUAAUACGGGAGGAUGCGAGCGUUAUCCGGAAUCAUUGGGUUUAAAGGGUCCGUAGGCCGGGCUGAUAAGUCAGAGGUGAAAGCGCUUAGCUCAACUAAGCAACUGCCUUUGAAACUGUCAGUCUUGAAUGAUUGUGAAGUAGUUGGGAAUGUGUAGUGUAGCGUUGAAAUGCUUAGAUAUUACACAGAACACCGAUAGCGAAGGCAUAUUACUUAAUAAUUUAUUGACGCUGAUGGACGAAAGGCGUGGGGAGGCGAACAAGGAUAGAUACCCUGGUAGUUCAAGGGCGAAAUUCCAUAAUUGUAUUUUAAGCUUUGUCGAGGCGGCCGCCCCCAAGGGGGGCCCGGUAUGUUAGUGUUGUGGCGCUUUAGUGGAGAAUAAAAUUAAGAAGAGGAGAGAGGAGUGC
rnacentral:rRNA from 1 species